GAGCCCUGCAGGGUUUGCCUUCCCCAGGUGGACAGGCAGCCACCAGGGCCAUGCCGGUGCCAUGGGGGUGCCAGGGCCCUGUGGGCAGGACACCCCUGCCCAGCCAAGAAAAAACAAGGAGCCAGGGGCACUGGAGCUCAGAGAGGGAGGAGGGGAUGGGAGGGGAGGUGAGCAGUGUCCCAUACGACCCAGGGCACCCCAAGCGCUGAGCGGAGGCUGAGGAGUGCAGGGGUGUUUGUAACAGGGCACCUGCUGUACAGGGAAGAGGCUCUCGGGGGCAGAUAGAUGCAGGGCAGGGGCUGGCAGGCAGCUGAGGGAGCAGCAGGAUAUGGGCGACCCAGGCCCGCCGCCCCCCCAGCCAGGUGACUCAGCUACUGCCUUAGUUCGUGUACCUCGCAGUGCCCAGGACACUCCGGUUCUUUCUGUUCUUCCCACAGUGGGCAGGCAGCAGGCCCCGCUGAGAUGGUUCUGGCCCCGCUGUCCCUCAGGACAGCCCUGUUGAGCAGCAGGCUGGACAGGCCUCCUGCUGGGCCCGUGAGUCACUCCAGUCUCAGAGCCCAUUUGGGGCAGGAGGGAGCUUGUGGUUUGGUUGGAGGGCUAUGUGUUUGGGGAAUGGGGGGACCAGGUACGAGGAGACACGAGGACUGGGAAGGGUCAGGCCAGAGGGGCCUUUAGGACCUUCUGGGGCACGCUGGAAGCCAGACGGCAGCUGCGUUAGGAGUGGCAUGGCAAGAUGUUCAUUUUCAAACAUGGUUCUAACUGCAGCAUCCUGGAGCACGGAUGACUUCUCUCAGCCCUGGGCUGGACAUCCAGGGACGCUCUGGACAGCCCCCUGCCCCAUCGUCUUGUGAGCUAGGUGUCCCACAAAGCCAGGUCCCAGCUGACCUAGCCUCAGCCCCACCUGUGGGUUCGCUCCUGGCAGCAGGAUGACCUGGGCACAUGCUGUCACCUUGUGCGUCCCCUUUCAGAGCCUCAGAGUAAGGUGAGGCUUGAUGAGGGCUUGUCACCGUAGAACACACAGAAGCCCAGACUUCAGCAGAGGUUCCUGGAGACGCGAUUGAAAGCCAACUCCACGCCCUGCUAUCUGGGCAGCCUCAGGUGUGGGCUGCGGUUGGUGGGCAGGAUGCAGGUGGGCUGCGCCCUGCAGGUCCAGAGGGGCCCCAGAACAGUGGAGUUAGGGGCAGCCGGCAGCUGUGAACCCAGCCCUCAUUUGCAUAUAAGGAAAUGAGGUCACCUAGCAGGUAAGCGGCAGAGAAGGGACAGAGGCUGUGGGUCCCCUGAGUCCUGUCCAGUGUCCUUUCAACAGCAUCCAGACAGACACUCCUGUAAUCCAUUCAACUGAAAGAGCAGGAGGAGACAAAGACAAAUUAAC
rnacentral:lncRNA from 10 species